rnacentral:lncRNA from 1 species
CUUCAGUUUUGCUGCCUCUCAAAGCAAGAAAACACUAGAAACUUUCACAAAAGGAAAAACAAAGAAGUGUUUUACAUUUUAAAUCUUUUGGAUUUAUCGAAGACUGUCCAGACAUGUGCAAAGGACUAUCCCAGCUCCCAGCAACGUGCCUGAAGGGAGCCAAGGACAUCAAGCACAAGAUCAGCCACUUGCUGCAGAAGCCGGAGCCUCAGGCGCCGGAGACGAAACCGAGCAAAGACAAAACCAGCGCAGCGGCAAAAAAGAAAGUUCCCACUGCAGCUGAUGUGGAGAAGUGGAGGCAAUCCUUCAGCCAUCUGCUUAAAUCUGACAGUGAGUUUCUAUGACUUAAUCCUUUGGCCCGUGGCUCAAGUUUAGCUCAUA